UACAGAGGGGGCAAGCGUUGUUCGGAAUUACUGGGCGUAAAGGGCGCGUAGGCGGCCCGCUAAGUCGAACGUGAAAUCCCCGAGCUCAACUCGGGAACUGCGUCCGAUACUGGCGGGCUUGAAUCCGGGAGAGGGAUGCGGAAUUCCAGGUGUAGCGGUGAAAUGCGUAGAUAUCUGGAGGAACACCGGUGGCGAAGGCGGCAUCCUGGACCGGCAUUGAUGCUGAGGCGCGAAAGCUAGGGGAGCAAACAGG
rnacentral:rRNA from 1 species